UCGCCUCGUGGGGAGGUUGUAGUACAGGACUAUGCGGACAUGGUUUCCUUCCAUUAUUCGAUCAAGAACCGAUAGAGGGCUGAAUUUUCCUGGCUCCACUGCCUUGGUGCUGAUCACAGUUCUUUUGCAGAUGAAGAAUGGAGGGAAUGUGAUUGAAAUAAGGCAUGUUGCUCAGGUGAAGCACUUUGCUUUCUUCUUGACUGGCUGUGAGAUGAUCAAAGAGGUUGCUAUCGGGGAGGGGCAGACGCUGCUUUAUGCGCCCCAUCCUCCGUGAGAACAGAACUUGCUCAUAAGCCACCACCAGCCUAAUAGACUGAUAUUCUUCUAGGGCCGAGCAUGAGGACUGAUGGGGUGAGCUGCAUCUCCGAUCAAAACCACGUUGUCCCAAUAGAAUUGGUCGAGGGGAUCAGCGUCGUAUAUGGCAUUCAAGAAAGGCUCCUUGGUUUCUCUCAUCACUUUCACCAGCUCUGGA